rnacentral:lncRNA from 1 species
AGCCAUCUCACUGGGGGAAAUCAUUUUUCUCACUUACAGAGGGAGAAAUAGUAAACACCCCAAGAUCCAAAAGCUUUAUUUCCCACACAAGCUGAAAAUCCUAUGCUGAGCGGACUAGGCAGAAGUUUCAAGUGGAAAUAAUCACUAAGAUUCCUGCUCUUCUUUGGAAGCCUAGAAAAGGGGUAGCAGGCCAGAGGUUCUUAGGCCCAGGCUGCUUUUGGGUCUGGUGACCAUUUUUUGGAUACAGAGCAGUACAUCAUUUGCUUUAUGGCUGAAGUCUCCUGCUAGUGUUACCAAUGGACCAUACCUAGUUGGACAUCAGCUGGCAAGGGAGCUUGAAAAUAUCACUUAAAGGGAAGAUGGGAAAUGAAUCUGAGAAUAAACAGGCUGAUCCACUUCCUAACAAUGGACCUCACAGGGCCGUGGCAUCUCUUCCUCUCCUCUUGAGCCAACUGAUGAACAGCUUUCAGGCCCCUCAGAUGCCCAUCCUUCUGUGCCUCAUGCUAGUUCUUCAGCUGGGGCUGGACUAGCCUCCAGCAUCAAACAUUUGAAUACCUUGGCAGAUGCUGCUGAAACCAGUGUGAGAACCUCAAGCCAGACUGGAUCACCUCAUGCUUACUUCACGGAGCAGAAAGCUGGCGCCCAUCACCUGGUUCAGAGUUUCUUUCUCUACUUCUCUCAUCCCUGAGGGCCACGAACCUUCACACUUCACUCUCUAACAAUU